AAAUUUACCUUGUAGGGAGAUACCAUGCUCACAAAGGCGGUUUUCCAAAGGCAAGGCUCAUCCAUCACACUCUGGAUGUGCCGACCCCUGUAGUUUCCCCAAAUGUGGAAAAUUGGCUGCAUAAUCUGUGGGGGGGGGCGGGGGCUGUGUUUAAGAUCCUCCCCAC